GGGCGUAUGGUCGAGUGGUCAAAGACGUCCCAAAUGCAUACCACCCUACAAUAGUCGGCUGGGUCUGGCCACCAGCCUUACUCGGAUCGUCGGGUUUGGGUCGGUUGUAAGAAAUGAGAAGAGUCCCAAGUUCGAAUCCUGGAGUGCCUA